GAUGAACGCUGGCGGCGUGCCUAAUACAUGCAAGUCGAACGGGGAGUAGUAAUACUCUUAGUGGCGAACGGGUGAGUAACGCGUUGGUGACCUGCCCCAAAGCGGGGGAUAACAGGCCGAAAGGCCUGCUAAUACCGCAUGUGCAGUAAGGGAUUGAAAAGCUUACUGGAAAGCCGAAAGGCACUUUGGGAGGGGCCUGCGACCCAUCAGCUAGUUGGUAAGGUAACGGCUUACCAAGGCGAUGACGGGUAGGGGACCUGAGAGGGUGAUCCCCCACAAUGGAACUGAAACACGGUCCAUACACCUACGGGUGGCAG
rnacentral:rRNA from 1 species